AAACUCAAAUGAAUUGACGGGGCCCGCACAAGCGGUGGAGCAUGUGUUUAAUUCGAAGCAACGCGAAGAACCUUACCAGGUCUUGACAUCCCCUGACAACCCGAGAGAUCGGGCGUUCCCCUUCGGGGGACAGGGUGACAGGUGGUGCAUGGUUGUCGUCAGCUCGUGUCGUGAGAUGUUGGGUUAAGUCCCGCAACGAGCGCAACCCUCGACCUUAGUUGCCAGCAUUCAGUUGGGCACUCUAAGGUGACUGCCGGCUAAAAGUCGGAGGAAGUGGGGAUGACGUCAAAUCAUCAUGCCCCUUAUGACCUGGGCUACACACGUGCUACAAUGGGCGGUACAAAGGGCUGCGAACCCGCGAGGGGGGGCGAAUCCCAAAAAGCCGCUCUCAGUUCGGAUUGCAGGCUGCAACUCGCCUGCAUGAAGCCGGAAUCGCUAGUAAUCGCGGAUCAGCAUGCCGCGGUCGAAUACGUUCCCGGGCCUU
rnacentral:rRNA from 1 species